CCUACGUGAGGCAGCAGUGAGGAAUAUUGGUCCAUGGGCGAGAGCCUGUACCAGCCAAGUCGCGUGAAGGAUGACGGCCCUACGGGUUGUCAACUUCUUUUGUCAGGGAGCAAUUGGGUCCACGCGUGGGCUUAGCGAGAGUACCUGAAGAAAAAGCAUCGGCUAACUCCGUGACAGCAGCCGCGGUAAUACGGAGGAUGCGAGCGUUAUCCGGAUUUAUUGGGUUUAAAGGGUGCGUUGGCGGAAUAUCAAGUCAGCGGUAAAAAUUCGGGGCUCAACCCCGUCGUGCCGUUGAAACUGAUGUUCUUGAGUGGGCGAGAAGUAUGCGGAAUGCGUGGUGUAGCGGUGAAAUGCAUAGAUAUCACGCAGAACUACGAUUGCGAAGGCAGCAUACCGGCGCCCAACUGACGCUGAAGCACGAAAGCGUGGGUAUCGAACAGGAUUAGAUACCCGUGUAGUC
rnacentral:rRNA from 1 species